rnacentral:rRNA from 1 species
AUAUCAAUAAGCGGAGGAAAAGAAACCAACAGGGAUUGCCUUAGUAGCGGCGAGUGAAGCGGCAAAAGCUCAAAUUUGAAAUCUGGCUCUUUCAGGGUCCGAGUUGUAAUUUGAAGAAGGUAUCUUUGGGCCUGGCUCUUGUCUAUGUUUCUUGGAACAGAACGUCACAGAGGGUGAGAAUCCCGUGCGAUGAGAUGAUCCAGGUCUAUGUAAAGUUCCUUCGAAGAGUCGAGUUGUUUGGGAAUGCAGCUCUAAGUGGGUGGUAAAUUCCAUCUAAAGCUAAAUAUUGGCGAGAGACCGAUAGCGAACAAGUACAGUGAUGGAAAGAUGAAAAGAACUUUGAAAAGAGAGUGAAAAAGUACGUGAAAUUGUUGAAAGGGAAGGGCUUGAGAUCAGACUUGGUAUUUUGUAUGUUACUUCUUCGGGGGUGGCCUCUACAGUUUACCGGGCCAGCAUCAGUUUGGGCGGUAGGAGAAUCGCUUGGGAACGUGGCACGGCUUCGGUUGUGUGUUAUAGCCCUUGUGGAUACUGCCAGCCUAGACUGAGGACUGCGAUUUAUAUCUAGGAUGU